rnacentral:rRNA from 1 species
UACGAAGGGGGCUAGCGUUGCUCGGAAUCACUGGGCGUAAAGGGCGCGUAGGCGGCGCAACAAGUCACUUGUGAAAUCUCCGGGCUUAACCCGGAGCGGCCAAGUGAUACUGUCGUGCUAGAGUGCGGAAGGGGCUACUGGAAUUCUCGGUGUAGCGGUGAAAUGCGUAGAUAUCGAGAGGAACACCUGCGGCGAAGGCGGGUAGCUGGGCCGACACUGACGCUGAGGCGCGAAAGCCAGGGGAGCGAACGGG